GCUGGUUUUAAAUUAGUACUUAAGCGCUUGGACUUAGAGCAAUGGCCAAUGAGAUGGGCAACAACAUGGUUAUUGUUCACCAAGGUAUGUUGCACAAUUCUAUAUGCUAUCUAGGACUUAGUAUUGCAUCAUUUAUUCGCUCAUUAGGUUUAUAUUUUCUUGGUAGCUAUUCGGUUUAUUCUACUUCUUAUCGUCCCAGUGGUCACGGGAUACAAAUUGACUUGUGGGGUAACUGCGCACUGCAUUUCAAUCGAGAUGCUAUCCGCACUCGUGGCCAAAGUGAAUCGGCUAUUGAUAUUUUCGUUGGCGCCAUUAAUUUAAGCCAUACUUUCAGCAGCAAGUAAUUCUCACACAUAGUGACCUGCAUUUCAGCUUCUUUGGCCUCUGAACACUGCUUUGCACCAUCAACACAUUGCACUGUCUUACAUUAUACACGCUGCCAAGCUUCUCAGUUUAAGUGACACUUUCAGCUUCAAGUUGUUCAAACUGUCAAACUUCUCAGUUUAUGUUACACUUUCAGUAGCAAGUAAUUCAAGUAAUUCUCAGAGUAUCCGGAUGUGGUUCGUCCCUGAGCAUAUGCUUUCUUCUUUACCUAUGGGUGUCGGUAGUCAGAGGUAAAUGAAAAAGGCUGUGUUCGAAAGAAGGUGCUAGGCCGUCAUAUUGUAUUUUCUGCACAACCACAAACUAUCGGUUUUGUUUUCGUUCAGCUCAAUGCCUGUUCUCGCGGAAGCAUACACAUAAUGUGGGAAGGAUCGUUCCAUGUAGAAACUGAAGAAAGGAGGAAUUUUGACAAAUUAAAAAAAGAACUAAUGAUGAUAAGGACGGUAUAAGUUGGUUCCUAAGUUCAGAAGAAGUGGGGUUUAGUACCUUUAUUGUAAAAUUUUAGUUAAAUAUGUUAUGUUCGUAAGCAUGGGAAAGUUAAAAUAGAAACCCCACUUUUUCUGAAGUUAGUCAAAACGCUAUAAGGCACUAAGUCCUGCUCCCUUCGAAGUUAGUUAAAAAAUUAGUUUCUUAUGUGUACAUGUUUGUGAAGGAAAAAUAUAAGAAACACUGAUCCUUGUGAAGUUAGUUAAACAGAUGUUCUGGUCCAUCA